rnacentral:rRNA from 1 species
GACGAACGCUGGCGGCGUGCUUAACACAUGCAAGUCGAACGGAAAGGCCCUGCUUUUGUGGGGUGCUCGAGUGGCGAACGGGUGAGUAACACGUGAGUAACCUGCCCUUGACUUUGGGAUAACUUCAGGAAACUGGGGCUAAUACCGGAUAGGAGCUCCUGCUGCAUGGUGGGGGUUGGAAAGUUUCGGCGGUUGGGGAUGGACUCGCGGCUUAUCAGCUUGUUGGUGAGGUAGUGGCUUACCAAGGCUUUGACGGGUAGCCGGCCUGAGAGGGUGACCGGCCACAUUGGGACUGAGAUACGGCCCAGACUCCUACGGGAGGCAGCAGUGGGGAAUAUUGCACAAUGGGCGGAAGCCUGAUGCAGCAACGCCGCGUGCGGGAUGACGGCCUUCGGGUUGUAAACCGCUUUCGCCUGUGACGAAGCGUGAGUGACGGUAAUGGGUAAAGAAGCACCGGCUAACUACGU